rnacentral:lncRNA from 1 species
GGCUUCAGCGUGUUCCAUCUCGCAGCCGCAGCCUGGGAGGCAGGGCUGGGGCAUGCCAGGUGCCCUGGAGGGGCCGAGGCCGGGGUUGGGUUCCUAGAGAUCUGGGGCUGGAGCAGGAAUUUCCACCCAAGCCAUCAUGAGCUAUCAAGAACCACAAGGCCAGGAAAAGGACCACCAGGAAAGCCAAAUGCAGAGCCUCCAAACACGCAUCUCUGGCUGGGAAGCAUCAAGUGUUACUAGGUUUCGGGGGGCGAAAAGAGGUCUCCAGCAAAAUAUUUCAAAAUCCAGAUUCAAGAGAGGCAACUCACAACUUAAAGAUUGCCCAGAUAUCUGCCCUCCGAGGAUCAGCAUUGCAAAAGUGGAUGUUAAAAGUCAGACAAGGAAAUGGAAAAACAGCAGCUCAAGAACCAGACUGGCGUGCAAAUGCUGGCAUCCCAUCCAAGGAGUGUGUGCCCCGGGAGCUGUCUGCCAGGCUCUGUCCAGGUCUGCCAUGGUGGGGACAGUGCUGCUGCUGUUGUUAUCUGGUCAUCGGACACGGUCACUCACCACAUUCCCCAGCGGGGCUUAUAGACAACAAAGGGGCCGAGGUAGUUUUCAAGGGCUGCGUGGCAACAGGGUGUCAUUCUUCGCAUAUAAAGGUGACGUUACUGGUCUGCAGUCCCGAGCAAGAAGCCUCAUCAAGCCCUGGAAAGGGAUUGGCCCGGAUCCUUCUCCAAGCUCCUCCCCCUGUAUCUCUCCAUUUGCCCCAAAACAGUGGGGCCCAUUUGCAGGUCAGCUGGAGAAACGGAGAGGGCAGCCCUUGACCUGA